GAAUAUCAAACAACUAGCCAUGUACUAGAUUUCCAGGUUACUCAAUUUUCCUCAUCUUUAGCUACUCUAGCUUCAUAAUUUGGAACAUUAAACUCUCUCUCUCUCUCUCCAUAACAAAGAAAAGAUGUCUGUAGGAGAGGCAAUUCUGGGAGCAUUGCUUGCAGCGUUGUUUACAGUAUUGACAUCUCGCGACUUCUUGAACUUUGCACGUCGAGAGGGGAUCAGUAAGAAGCUAGACAUGUGGAGAAAAACGUUGUCGAUGAUUGAGGAGGUGCUUGUGGAUGCAGAAGAGAAGCAGUUGACAGAAAGGGCUGUGAAAGUAUGGCUGGAUGAUCUGAGAGAUUUAGCUUACGAUUUGGAGGACCUACUUGAUGAAUUUGCGACAGAAUCUUUGAGAAGGACGUUGAUGGAAGGAGAUCAAAAUCAAGGUAGCAGUAGCACAAGUCUUGUCUCUACUAGAUUUUCAUUUGCUAGAUUCAAGGGAAGUACUGGUAAGUUCAACCGCAAGAUGAGGUCUAACAUAAACAAGGUAGGUAAGCGGUUAGAAGUAAUAUGCAAGAGAAGAGUUGAGCUUGGUUUACAAAAGGGCAAAGGGUCAUCAAGUAGUAAGGUAUGGCAGAAACCACCUAGUGCAUCUGUUCCAAAUGAAUCUGCCAUUUAUGGUAGAGAUGAAGAUAAAAAGAAGAUAAUUGAUUUACUGUUAAGGGAAGAGUCAAGUGAUCAGGAUGCCAAUUUUCGCGUCAUACCAAUUGUUGGAAUGGGUGGGAUCGGGAAGACAACUCUUGCACAGCAUGUGUAUCAUGAUGAAGCAGUGUUGGAAUAUUUUCACCCAAAAGCCUGGGUUUGUGUUUCUGAUGAUUUUGAUGUAAUGAGAAUAGCUAAGGCAAUCCUUGAGUCUAUAACUUGCCAUCCGUGUGAUUUGAAGGAGUACAAUGAAGUUCAGGUCAAGCUGAGGGAGGCAUUAGCUGGGAAAAAGUUUUUGCUGGUUUUGGAUGAUGUU
rnacentral:misc_RNA from 1 species